AACGAACGCUGGCGGCAGGCCUAACACAUGCAAGUCGAGCGCGCCCUUCGGGGUGAGCGGCGGACGGGUUAGUAACGCGUGGGAAUAUACCCGACACUAAGGAAUAGCCUCUGGAAACGGAGAGUAAUACCUUAUACGCCCUUCGGGGGAAAGAUUUAUCGGUGACGGAUUAGCCCGCGUUAGAUUAGGUAGUUGGUGGGGUAAUGGCCUACCAAGCCUACGAUCUAUAGCUGGUUUUAGAGGAUGAUCAGCAACACUGGGACUGAGACACGGCCCAGAUUCCUACGGGAGGCAGCAGUGGGGAAUCUUGGACAAUGGGCGCAAGCCUGAUCCAGCCAUGCCGCGUGAGUGAUGAAGGCCUUAGGGUCGUAAAGCUCUUUCGCCAGGGAUGAUAAUGACAGUACCUGGUAAAGAAACCCCGGCUAACUCCGUGCCAGCAGCCGCGGUAAUACGGAGGGGGUUAGCGUUGUUCGGAAUUACUGGGCGUAAAGCGUACGUAGGCGGACCAUUAAGUUGGGGGUGAAAUCCCGGGGCUCAACCCCGGAACUGCCUCCAAAACUGCUGGUCUUGAGUUCGAGAGAGGUGAGUGGAAUUCCGAGUGUAGAGGUGAAAUUCGUAGAUAUUCGGAGGAACACCAGUGGCGAAGGCGGCUCACUGGCUCGAUACUGACGCUGAGGUACGAAAGUGUGGGGAGCAAACAGGAUUAGAUACCCUGGUAGUCCACACCGUAAACGAUGAAUGCCAGUCGUCGGGUAGCAUGCUAUUCGGUGACACACCUAACGGGAUUAGCAUUCCGCCUGGGGAGUACGGUCGCAAGAUUAAACUCAAGGAAUUGACGGGGGCCCGCACAAGCGGUGGAGCAUGUGGUUUAAUUCGAAGCAACGCGCAGACCUUACCAACCCUUGACAUCCUGUGCUACAUCCAGAGAUGGAUGGUUCCCUUCGGGGACGCAGUGACAGGUGCUGCAUGGCUGUCGUCAGCUCGUGUCGUGAGAUGUUCGGUUAAGUCCGGCAACGAGCGCAACCCACAUCCUUAGUUGCCAGCAGUUCGGCUGGGCACUCUAGGGAAACUGCCCGUGAUAAGCGGGAGGAAGGUGUGGAUGACGUCAAGUCCUCAUGGCCCUUACGGGUUGGGCUACACACGUGCUACAAUGGCAGUGACAAUGGGUUAAUCCCAAAAAACUGUCUCAGUUCGGAUUGGGGUCUGCAACUCGACCCCAUGAAGUCGGAAUCGCUAGUAAUCGCGGUAACAGCCAUGACGGCGGUGAAUACGUUCCCGGGCCU
rnacentral:rRNA from 1 species